UACGUAGGGGGCAAGCGUUGUCCGGAUUUAUUGGGCGUAAAGAGCGUGUAGGCGGCCUGAAAGGUCAGCUGUGAAAACUCGAGGCUCAACCUCGAGACGUCGGUUGAAACCAUCUGGCUAGAGUCCGGAAGAGGAGUGUGGAAUUCCCGGUGUAGCGGUGAAAUGCGCAGAUAUCGGGAAGAACACCCGUGGCGAAGGCGGCUCACUGGUCCGAUACUGACGCGUGAGGUGCGAAAGCGUGGGGAG
rnacentral:rRNA from 1 species